AAGAAAGUGGCAGAGUGGCUAUGCGGCUGGCUUGAAACCGGCUUAUGGGGGUUCAAUUCCUUCUUUUCUCG
rnacentral:tRNA from 1 species